AUACUUACCUGGCAGGGGCGGGUCAGUGAUCACAGAGACCACUUACCCAGGGUGAGGCUCCCCAUUAGACUGCAAAGCUGCUGACGCCUGCCAUGUCCCCAAAUGUGGGAUCCUCCACUGCAUAGUUUGUGGUAGUGGCGACUGCAUUCACGCUCUCCCCUC